rnacentral:rRNA from 1 species
GACGAACGCUGGCGGCGUGCUUAACACAUGCAAGUCGAACGGCAAGGCCCUGCUUUUGUGGGGUGCUCGAGUGGCGAACGGGUGAGUAACACGUGAGUAACCUGCCCUUGACUUUGGGAUAACUUCAGGAAACUGGGGCUAAUACCGGAUAGGAGCUCCUGCUGCAUGGUGGGGGUUGGAAAGUUUCGGCGGUUGGGGAUGGACUCGCGGCUUAUCAGCUUGUUGGUGGGGUAGUGGCUUACCAAGGCUUUGACGGGUAGCCGGCCUGAGAGGGUGACCGGCCACAUUGGGACUGAGAUACGGACCAGACUCCUACGGGAGGCAGCAGUGGGGAAUAUUGCACAAUGGGCGGAAGCCUGAUGCAGCAACGCCGCGUGCGGGAUGACGGCCUGCGGGUUGUAAACCGCUUUCGCCUGUGACGAAGCGUGAGUGACGGUAAUGGGUAAAGAAGCACCGGCUAACUACGUG